UACGUAGGGGUCGAGCGUUGUCCGGAGUUACUGGGCGUAAAGCGCGUGCAGGUGGCUCAUUACGCCCGGCGUGAAAGCCCCCGGCUCAACCGGGGAGGGUCGUCGGGGACGGGUGAGCUUGAGGGUAGCAGGGGCUGGUAGAAUUCCCGGUGUAGUGGUGAAAUGCGUAGAGAUCGGGAGGAACAUCAGUGGCGAAGGCGGCCAUCUGGGACAACACUGACGCUGAAGCACGAAAGCGUGGGGAGCAAACAGG
rnacentral:rRNA from 1 species